UUAUGUUAUGUUAGUCACUAUACAGUACAUCAUUAGUUUUUGAGGUAGCGUUCCAUGAUUCAUUGUUUGCAUAUAACACCCAGGGCUCCACGCAAUACGUGCCCUCCUUAAUACCCAUCUUUAGUGGCAAACAAUAUGAGAUUGAGGAAGGGUGGCAGGACCAGGGUGGCUCAGUGUGGCCAGAGGGAAGGACAGAGUGGGUACAUCUCAGAUAAAGAAGAUUCUUGAGCUAAGCCAAGGAUUUAAGACACAUUCUAGAAUGUGUGAGAAGCCAAUGGAGAGUUUUAAGCAAGGGAUUCUUUAUCAGGUUUCUUAGUUCUGAGCAAUAGAGACUGACUCUGGCCGACUAAGAAGAAAAGGAACAUGUUAAAAAGGAUACUGGAUAGCUCAGGGAAUUCUGGGAAGGACUAAAGAGGUUCCAGGCUAAUUCCAGGAAUGAAACUCAGAACCACGCUGAAGAACUGGCCUGAUGGGGAAACUAGCCUGACUGACUGGGAUUGCCCCACCCUGCCCUGGAGGAAACUGCUGUCUCCCUGACAGAAACCACUGCGGAAUGGCAGCCACCUUCAAAUGCCACACGUUUUUGUGACCUCCUACACCAACAAAAUGCCAAGCUUCCAAAAGAGCCCGUUUCCUCACCUUGCUCACUUCUAAAUCAAAGGCUCAUAGGGAUACAUCUGAUUAAGGGGGACGGGAGUCCCAUGCCUGAGUCCUGGCUGCAAAGGAGACUGAGAUUGGGGGCGUCUGAACUCCUUCCUUGGGAAGGCAAAUAUCCCCAAAUGUUAAAAAAAAAAAAAAAAAAAAGGCCAUUCAAAAGAUGGUAGGAAGCCAUGAGUCUGACAGGCAUACAGCACAAGGGACACAGGUCAGAUCUGAAAUGUGAAUCUAUCACCUGUCACGUGUAGGGGCUAUAUUAGAUCAGGGUUCCUCAACCUUGGCACUGUUGACACUUGGGCUUCAUGAGUGUUAGUUGUGGAGGACUAUCCUAUGCCUUGUAGGAUGUUUAGCAGCAUCCCUAGUCUAUCCACAAAAUGCUGCUAGAAACCUCUCCCCCAACUGUAAAAACCAAGGAUGUGCUCAAACUUGGACACAUAUUCCCUAGAGGGUGAAACUGCCUUGAAAACCACUGGAUUGGGGACCAGCUUAGUUUGGAGGCUCUUUUGGUAACAGAAGAAAGGAAUUAGUGGAAUGAUGAUAUAACCAUCGGCAUGGCAGAAGUAAUCCAACCACAGGGGUUUAGAAGGGUCCUGGAAGAGAACCAGAACAUCCUCAAGGCACCACCAAGAUUUAAGGAUGUCACUUUAAUGUCUGCAAGCAACAGUUACUGCAACUUUCAAAGAGUUCAGAAAUUUGCAGUUCUUUUUUUAAUGGAUGAUUUUAUAGAAUACUAAAAGGGACAAUAUCACUUUUCUAUGGGAAUACAUAUACUCCCUGUAGACUUUUUUUAAAUAAACAUUUUAUUUUAGAAUGGUUUUAGAUUUAUAGAAUGAUUUAGGGGCACCU